CACCAGUAUCCCGUCACUGGCCGAGCCCCUCCCCUUGGCAGCUACGGCAGCAGAGAGGCUCUGGUGCAUCACAUUCACCUCGGAGGUCGUGGGAGGUGAGUAUGUCUCCCCCCAGCACACACACACACCACCACUGAAUCUAGACCUCCUUUCUCCUUCCUCAGCUCCUGAUGAGGAGCAGGGUUGGGAGGCUCGCAGCUUCACCGUCAACAACAACAACAACAGAGGCCUGACAACAGCGCAACACGCGAACCACGCCCCUGACACUCCCCCGUGCUCUGGUUGGUCCAUUUCUAGGGUCCAGUCGUGUGAUGUUACAGGAUGUCGAAGGAAGCCAGCAGCCUAUGCACACACACGCCAAAACGACCACUAAGGUGAGUUUGUUUGGGCGGGGGGGGGGGGGGGCUAGAACGACACACUCUUCUCUCCCUAUGGACACAUUGCUGGAGAAGUCACAACUCUGCACCCAUUGAUCUCAGGAGAGCAGCAUAUCUUUACCCCAAAAGAAUCUCCCAGGACAGAGGUCCUCACUACUGACACUGGAAGGCUCCAGUGAUAACUCAACACUCGCUCACACUACAGUUACAUUAGUAUAGGACAGUUAGUGUACAGUGUACCACACACAAUAUGUAGUAUAUACCAUAUUACUACAUUACAUAUCAUUUACAUUUAGUCAUUUAGCAGACGCUCUUAUCCAGAGCGACUUACAGUAAGUACAGGGACAUUCCCCCGAGGCAAGUAGGGUGAAGUGCCUUGCCCAAGGACACAACGUCAUUUUUCACGGCCAGGAAUCGAACCAGCAACCUUCUGAUUAAUAGCCUGAUUCCCUAACCGCUCAGACAUCUGACUCCCCACAUUAGUGCUAUAGUAUUAUUAACAUAGUACAGUUAGUACACAGGGGUAUACU